CGGCCGCGCGGUGAGAGCAGAGCCAACUAUUCUUUCGCCUUUUACUAAAGAAUACCGUGCGCUCGCUGCGGCAUACGCCUAUUUUUGAAGGGUCUCUCCUAAUUGGAGACU